CCGCAGCUAAUUAAGCCGGCCGUGACCCCCCCUGCCAUGGGGCCCCGGCGUGCAAUGGCUGCGCACAGCACCCCCCCGGCUGUGUAGGGCCCCCCGCGUGCCCAUCGCUGGGUGCCCCAAGGGGCCGGGGGCACACAC